GGGCGUGUAGCUCAGUUGGUAGAGCGUUCGCUUCGCAUUCUUUACUGGAUUGCGAAAGGUCUUGGGUUCGAUUCCCAACUCGUCCA